CCUGCCACAUCAGAGGCCUUGGGAGGAUGACCUAAGGCUGCUUUCUCCCAUCCUGACUUCCUCUACCCAGCGCUGUAACUACACGUACAAUUUGCUGGUUCUUCUAAAGGAUGACUGACUGGUGCUGUGAUGUGGUCUUCAGGCAGCCAGGGGGGAUCUCCAUAUGAGCUGCUGCUGCUGCUGCUGAAUUAUGCAGCCUGCUCUUCUGCAUAUCUCUCCUGCAGUGGCUGGCCUUAUUUCUGCACAGUGCAUGGAUCAGAAUCUGGGGGGAUGCAGACAGCACGCACUGAAAGACCUAAAUGAAUGUAAGCAAGCCCCAGGCCCAGUUACCACUUGAUUUGGAAAUCGUUUUGGACUGUCCGACACAAUUAUGACUGAAAUCAAGUUUAAGGCCUGACACCUAGUGGCAGUUUAUAGGCAGCGUUCUUCAAGGCAAACCGAAAGAAACUUCAGGAUGUAGUAACUGUGGAGAAACGCUUACAACCGGACUUGCCGUUAGCCCGAAGACAAAAGAACUGUCGUCUGGACAGAAGUGCUCACCGCUGCACAGAACUCUGCCAAGGCCACUCUGAGGCAUCACAUCUGAGUCCUGGGAGCUAAACACACCCACAGUUGUGGUUCUCCCUUGCAAUUCGGAUCUACUGGCUUGCCCUGGAUCCAUCUUACAACCCUGUUCUAUUGAAUCAAGAUCUGGAUGACACAUUGUCUUGGCAGUUGCAAAGCUCCCAGACGUCCUUCUAGUUCCCGGUUGGACAGUGAACACCUGCGCCCUCCAGCUGAAGAGCAACGUGGAAAGUCUGGAUUAGAGGAAGGAGCGCUGUUUGUUCCCUGCACAUAUUUUCAGGGUCUAAGCACAGUCAGCGCCAUCUGAAGUUUGGUUCAGCAGAAUUGAGGGUGAGUACAUCCCUAAGGUGACUCAUGUGUCUGGGAACCUUAUACUAUUUUAAGGUAAAUAUAUGGUAUUAUAAGAAGAUACUCUUAAGGGCAGUCAGUUUUCUUCCCCACAUUCGUAUGGCACUGAUCAUUCAUAAAGGUUUCAUAUUAAUGAUCUAUGUUUUGAAUAAAGGGCAGGCAUUACUAUGUCAAACUCAUGGGUGAGGAAGUGGAGGCUUACAAAUUUUUGAGAUGUAUACUUAGCAAAGAGAUCUGAGAUUCCACCCGGGGCCUCCUGGCCUUAAUUUGGAUGCAUAGGUUCUCAAAUGUAUUUCAAAAAUCCAGUUUGUUCCUUCAUGCUUAUGUUGGUAGACAGAAUGAUUUAUUUUUAAGCAUACAACUAUUUAACCAUAUUUAUCACUAUGAUUUAAUAUCCCCUUGGUUCUGUUCCUGGCCAUAUUUCAGUUCUGUUAAUAGUUACCCACCUAUCCCUUAGAUGGAUUUUAAGCCAUAACUAGUCUGAAUUCUGCAGUUUGUCUCAUGAGGAAAGGAGUUCUUUUGUUUUUUAUGAUCUCUAUAUGAAUUAGUGCUUCUGUUUGACGUCACUUUUCAGAAGAACAGCUCGUCCAUGAAAGGUCAUUUCACAUCAUUGUUACAAAAGAAUAACCUUCAUUUCAUAUGAACCAGUUGUAUAAAGGGUUGUAGUUAUGAUAAAAACCCAUUGCCAAGAACAUCAGAGAGAAUGCCUCUUGCUCAUACAUGAUGUCAUUCCUGUGUUCCUAGUGCCUCACAGAGUGCGUGGCACUGGGUGAACGUCUGUGUAAUUGAAUCCUUCAAAAUGUCACAACGUAGGUCUUGUGGAAGUAAAAUUUGAAUCAAGACACCAUUUCCCAAAGUUCCUAAAUUUUACAGAAAUCUUGGCCUCCACAAAGAAGAAAAGUCCUAAACUGGAAAAGUGUUAAAACUACAGAACUCCAAAACAUACUUAAUCCUGGUGUGAUGCACGAAACAGGACUAAGAAAAGGUAAGAGAAAGCUCACCAAACCCAUAAAUAUGCAGUGCACUCAGUUAGACUUCUCAAUGGACAUGACAACCAAGGCCUCUUUUUUCCUAUUUGUACAUCUUUGCUUCUAAAUGUUGACAGAUUGCCUUUAGAUUAAAUAUGUUUUUGUUGCUAUAUGUUAAAAAACAGCCACAACAAAAAAGCUGUAAUGCUGACAGUGGAAAAUGCAUGCCUCCUUGGUCUUAACAGCUCAAGCAAUACCUUUCUUUCAAUUUUAUGUAGGAUAGAGCGUCACCCUUCUUCUAUAUCAUUAAGCACUAAUUGCCCAAUUACAGUGCUUUGGGACACUGUUAAUAUUGUGCCCAAGGCUUUUCAGCACAGUCAGCUUUAAAGCAAAUGAUCCCAGUCGUCAAAAUUAUUUACUAAGCACACUACAGAGUUUCUUCUAGAAAGAUUAUUUAAGGCCUAUUACACUUGCUAGAGCCUUAUACUACAAAAUACUUGGGUACUUAGUGAGGCCAUUGCUUGUUCUCCUGAGGCCUUUUUUUUCCCAGCACCAAAAUGUAAAAGGAAUAUUCUGUGUUUGGGUAGAGCAGACUCAUGCAGACAUUCUUAAUCUGAAAGCACUUUCCUUUAUUUUAGGUCAUUUGGAGAGGGGUAAUGAGUUGUUCUCUAUCAGGGCAUUAUUUAUAAAUACAGAGUUAAAAAGUUUAUUUUAAAAAUACUUUCUUUGUGUUUAAAUAGAUAUAGCAAUGUAAGCUACAAGGGAUUUGAAUGUAUCCUAAAUCAUGCAUUAUUUGAACAGAUUCUUUUUUAAAUCUCUGUGUGGAAGAUUUUAUCAAACAUUUUACAUUAUUGACAACAAACAAUAACCAUUGAGGACUGUGAAGCGUUUUCUCCUAUUUCUCAUUAGUCUUCUCAACAGCUCUCAGCUAGUUGUUUCUGACUCCAUUUUACAGAGGAGGAAAUUGAAGCUUUGGAUGGGUAAAUGACCCUUGUAAAGUCAUACUACUUGUAAGGGACAGGAAAGUGAGUGUUAUGUAUAGGUUCAUCUUUUGAGUUCCUGGACUCAAUUGUAAUAUGUGUGUGUGCGGGCAGGAGGCACUUCGCCCCACACUAUCAAGCAAUUCUUGGACACCAGCAGGGUGUUCAAGAAUCCAGCCCAACUCUGACACUAUCUACCUGGAGCUAGCAUCAGAUUCCAUAUGUUAAGGGUUCAGUCCUACAAGACUGGCCCCCAUCUCCCCACUUCAAAUAGCAAUCACAAGCCCAGGUUGUUACCUGUACUUCUGAUCAACUGGCUAUAAGUCAGAAGUUGCCAUGACCUCUUCCUUGGGUUCACUUAAUUUACUAGAGCAGCUCACAGAACUCAGAGAAACAUUUUACUUACUAGAGUACUGAUUUAUUAGAAAAAGAUGUAACUCAGGAGCAGCCAGAUGGAAUAGAUGGAAAGAGCGAGGUAUGUGGGAAGGGGCUUGGAGCUUCCAAGCCCUCUCAGAGUGGGCCAUACUCGUCACAUCUCCAUGUGUUCACCAACCUGGAAGCUCUCUGAAUCCUUUUUGGGUUUUUGGGUUUUUAUGGAAGCUUCCUUACACAGGCAUGGUUGGUUAAAUCAUUGGCAAUUGGUAAUUGCUACAACAUGUAGCCCCUCUCCCCUCCCCAGAGAUUGGCGGGGGCAGUGGGACUGGAAGUUCCAACCCUCCAAUCACACGGUUGAUUCUCCUGGCAGUCAGCCCCCUUCCUUUGGGGUGGGGAGUAGGUCCAAAAGUCACCUCAUUAACAUAACAAAAGACACUUUUAUUGCUCUCAUGGGUUAGGAAAUUAUGAGGGUUUUAGGAGCUCUGUGCCAGAGACAGGGAUGAAGACCAAAUGUAUAUUUCUUAUUAUAAAUCACAAUAUCACAGUUAAAAAAUGGAAACAGUGAUACAAUUUACAAAAUUUACAGAAGAUAGGGACAAAAAAGGAGAUUUCAAAUAGUAAAAUAGAGAUCUCUAAGAUAUGCUGAUAAAAAGUUGAAUACAGAUACAUUUAAAAUUUGGGACAUAUUUUUAAUGAAAUGUUUUAAAAACUCCAUGUGAAUUCUUUUUCAAAUCACUCUCUAUCCUUUAUAGUAAUUUGUGUUUUCAUUUAUCAAGUUUGUUUAAGGUGGGGCCCACCUGCCUCAUUUGGAACUAUAUCCACGUAACACUUGAAAAGUGGGCCACCCUGUACUGUAUAUAAUCCACAUGGUUCACCACUCUUGGCCUUUAUAGCUCAUAGAGAUUGUGGUGUAUGUUAUUGUAUUCACAAUAUAUAAUGAUAUUUACAUUGAAUAUCACCUUUAUAGGUGACCUGUAAAGUCCUUUUCUGCCUUCUUCUGAUCUAUUUGAAUUUAUAGUCAAGCGGUACAUAUAAUUAUGUACUUCAAAUGUAACACAGAAAUAUUAUUGACUUUUAUCAUCAACAGUUUCUCUUUUGGUGUAUUUUUUUGAGCUUGUAUUAUCUUUUUAGUUUAGACUGUGAGAAAAUCCAAAAGGAGGUGAAUUUACUCAGAAAAAUCACCUUAGAAGUUAGUCUAUGUAUAUUUGAUUCAGAAGACCAAACCAAAUCAAACCAAACAAAUAAACAAACAAUAAAAAAAUUCUCAAGGAAAAACUUACUUUGGUGUGCUUUCAGACUUGCUGUGCACACAGUAGGCAUACAAGAAACAUUUGUUAAACUGAAUUGAAGAGACCAUUCUUUGUUUCCAGGACAUUUCCUUGUAGUAAUCCUGACACUGAUGUAUGAUUGGACACUGCUGCCUGUUGGAUUCUCUGGGAAGCAGAUGCAGAUGGCAGUUAGUGGGUAGGAAGUUUACUAAGGAGUGUUCUCAGGGAAAGAACUAGAAAUGGGCAGAGGGAGGAGUUGGUCUGCAGUGCAGUCUCAACCAAAGAGGGUUCAGUCAACUCCUUAAGGAGUUUUGAAGCUGUGUUGGCCCGUCUGAUUUGUGUCUGGUUCUGGUGAGAGGGGCCAGGACUUGGCAAUCUGGCCUAGAUCAGUCAUUGAAUGUGAGCUGCCCCCUCCCUCCCUAGGAAGAUAGCCUGACCUUGGGCAGGGCAGCUAUCUCUAACUGAGGGCAAAUUCUGGAAAUGGUUGACUACAGAGACAGCAGAACUUCCAGUGGCUGGUGUAAUAGGAGUAAGUCCUAGUAUCCUGAAGAGGGACCUGAGAGGUGCAGCACUGUAUUCAAUACAGACACUGUGGCCCCUAAAUAAAACAAAAAUGAAGAUUUUGACUCUGCCCUUCCUUCUCUACACCCCAUCUUUCAAUCUCUAAUUCUGCUAAAGGACAGGCAUUUGUUUGUUUAUUUGUUUCUUUACUUUCAGCUCACAGAUAGACUUGUGAGGGCUGACUUGCCUAAUUAUUUUGACAGUUUCCUAUUCAUUAUCUCACUUAGCAGGGAACCUCUUUGGACCAUCAAGGCUGCAAAUUUACGAUUGCACAUUAAUUGGUGGAAUAUAAUUGCUAGCUGCCGCUUCUGGGCUUGGGGUGCACUGUAUGUGCCAGAAUAUAUACAGUUAGCCCCAAGGUUUGCUCAGGAGCACUUGCCCAUCGAACAAGAAAAUGAGCAUUACAGUAAUUGAGAACAUGGACACCUUGGGUCAUUUUCUUGCUGGCAAUGUUUAGAAAGUCUCAUCAUUGAAUUGUCCUGAUUUGUUUCUUAUUACCUCUCAAAAGCAUUGCUAGGCAAGAAGCUAUUUGGCACACAGAAUUUUAGCUUGUUUGGGGGUGAGAAAGGUGAAUGAGAAGAGGAGGAAAUGUUAACUUCUAAUGCUGGAACAGAUUUAGUGCUUGAACUUUUCUCUUUUUUAUAUUUUUUCACUAGAUUGGGUGGGGCUGUGGAACAUGACCUGGGAGUUCUGAAAAUUUUCUAAAAACCUGUUCAAUGGAGAGAACUCGCUGAAGACUGUUGGAUUCAGUGGCAUGUAAGAUACCCGGGAAGUAGAGAAGACUGGUGGAAGUGAAUCAUUUGGAAUCCUAAAGAGCAGCCAGAUGUCCCUUCUUCAUACAGGGUCCGGAUAAUCUCUGCAGCUUUAAGAACUUUUCAAGAGAAAUAAUUUGUGAAGCUCAGUGGUGUUCAAAACAGGAUGCUACAUUUUUGUGGUCGUAUUUUGUAUUUCCUAGAAAGCAGGAAAAACUAAGACUGAAAUCUAUAAUAUCACGAUCUGUAUCAUACAUUCUCUUUUUCUGGAUCUUUUCCCAUUCUGGCAGGAAAGUGAAAUGACACUGAGACAUUCUCAGAAUGUAUGGAAUAGUAAUUUCUUACUAAUUUAAUGGUUGUUCAGUUAGAUCAUGGGGUAGCAAGCUUUUCUUUUGCAUCUUGAAUGUUACUUUACCUGUUGACAUGGCACCAUUCUUAAAGUCACAGACUCACGUAGGAUUUAUUCAUUUAGUAGUGUAAGGUGGGGUCGAUCAUCAGUCCUUUUCAAAUCUCACUCUCUCUUUCUUCCAUCUGCUUAUUUUCUUAUUCUGAGGUUCCCUUUUUCUUAUUAAUACUACCACUCAUCCUGGUCAACUGUAUUCGAAGUCUGUGGAGCAUUUUGACUAUCCCUACCCUAGAUGAUUUCUCCAUCAAGCAGCGUCUCUUUCCACAGUCGCACAUCUGUCUCCCUCCUUUCUGUUUUGUUUCCUCUAGCCUGAACCAGAGUGUUGUUAGUCUUUCGUCUUUCCUGUCACCAGUACAAGCUACACGCUGUCCUUUAAUAAAUCAUUCUGAAGAUCGAGACUAAUUGUAUCACUCUAUAGCUCAAAAACUUUCAAUAGUGUGAGGUGCUUAAAAGGAAGAAGAAAUAGAAGGAGAGGAGGAGGUGGAGGAAAAAGAGGAAAAAGAAGCAGGAAGUUGCCAGUGAAA
rnacentral:lncRNA from 1 species